ACACACACACCACAAAAAAAUCUCUGCUACAUCAAAAAUCUUGCUUUCUAAAGGAAAUAGUCCUUUCUGCAUGUUUCCACCACUUCCAUUGUAGAAUAUCUGGUGACUAACCAAACCAUACUCAUCUAUGUGUGUAUUCAGUUUGCUAAGUGGACAACCAACCACCGUGAGGACUGUAGCAUGUUAUAAGCAUGUUGCCAACCACCCCCUCCCAUCGUUCUGUGGAUGACCACCCUCUAAGCCUGAGGCUCAAGGAGCACAGCAGACCAUGGUCUAUCUUAGACAGGUUAGGCACAAUUCUAUUGGCAAGUAAGAAAUAGAACCAUGACUAACUUUUGAUAAUCUUUCCAACACCAGGAUUCCAGGCCUAUUAAAGGAACACAGUGAUGGCUUAGGAAGAGUAUCUGUCAUCACCCAGUGCAAAAGACACAGAAGAAAGUCGUUCCUGUGUUGAGUAGCGCUCCCGCUUACAGCUCAAGCUUCAGUGACCAAAACCAAAGAGUGUGUUGAGCUACCAGGCACUUUGGUGAUUUCUGCUGUAUAUCAUUUUACCUUUUUCCUGCUUGCAACUUCCUGCUGGGAUUACAAGGUCAGCAGGGAAACCUGCUCCUUGUGAGAAGCUACGGAAAAAGAGUUUGGGACAAAGAUUUUGAUCCGAAGUUACAAUCAAGUUUAUACGUCUACAGACAAAUUCACAACCGUUCCUGACAUUCGGUUAUAAAUCAUGUUGGGGAUGGAAGUUAGAGCCUCCCGCAUGAGAGGCAUAUGCUCUACUGAUGAACUAUAUCGCCAGCCGCGUUACUGCAUCCGAUCCUUCAUAUGAAUUGCUGCAUGUAUUCUUCUCCACAAUGAAGACAGACUCCUUAUGUCUUCGAAGACACUUGCAAUAAUGAUAAUAAGAUUGAAGCCGACACGAUUCUGGCAGCAUCUCCAUUUUGCAGAUAAAGAAGAUGUAGCCAGGUUAAAUACAAGACUCGUAGGAAUUUGAAUACAGGGAUGAUUGAAUGAUUUCUUCGGCUCAAGAAAAAUAUUCACUUAUCUGACGGUGGAAUCUGAAUUCGCGUUUUCUCCAUUAGUUCCUCAUUAUGGCCCACUCCUCCCAGGAGGCUGAGCUGUGUACAGAGGACGCAGAACACAGCGACAAAUAUGGGCUUCCUCUCCUGUGCACAUCCGGCCUGAAGUGUCCUGAAUCUCUGCACGGGCAGAGAUUCAAACAAAGGCAAUGAAAACGUGGGCUGUUCACCCAGUUCCAAAGCUGGACCAGAGAAUCCUUUCCCUUUCAAUGCUGCAAUGACGUCUCCAUGGUGACGCUGACUUUGGAAGCUGGGCCAGUUUCUCAGCAGGGCCCCCAGCAAAUAUAUUUUCGUUACAGGAGCGCCCUCUACAGACCAGAUGUGGAGUUAGCGCUGCAGCCUAGACAGCAUUGGAAGCAUGCGUUGUAGGCUAAAACUUUUUUUUUUUUUGUUACCCAUAGUUAUAGUUAUAAAGAUAAAACCCCAAGAAAUUCAGUUUGUUUAUUGAAAUAUUGACUGUGGCUUAUUCUUUGUUUGAAUUUUGUUUUCAAGGUAUUUAUGUAAAAUUUGUCAU